AUGGCCAUGCCUACAGCAUAUAGAGGUUCCCAGGCUAGGGGUCAAAUAGGAGCUGCAGCUGCCAGCCUACACCACAGCCACAGCAAUGCCAGAUCCUAAACCUACUGAAUGAAGCCAGGAAUCGAACCUGCAUCCUCAUGGAUACUAGUCAGAUUUAUUUCUGCUGAGCCACAACAGGAACUCCCUGUACCUCCAUUCUUUUUCCAAGAUCAUAAAUCAUUUUUACUAUCAUCACUCUGAAUUCUUUUCCAGGUAGAUUGUCUAUCUCCUCUUCAUGUAGUUGUUCUUACAUGUUUUUAUCUUGUUCUUCUUUCCAUAGGGUGCAGGAUUUUAGUUCCUCUUGUUUCUAGUGUCUGCCAUCUGGUGGGGUAAGUUUGGCCCAGAGGUUUGUGCAGGCUUCCUGGUUGGAGGGACUAGUGCCUUCCCACUAUUUGGUGGAGCUGGGUCUUGUCCCUCUGCUUGCCAGGGCCAUGUCAAGGGGUGUGUUUAGAGGUAGCUCUUGGUUCAAUAUGACUUUUGGCAGCCUGUCACCUCUCCUCAGAGUACUCUGGCUUUUAUCCUCUUGGUAGAAGGUGUGUUUGAUGAUGUGAUGACUCGAGCCUGUGCUGGAUAUUGAAUGGGGCUUCCUGUUUGCUCUCUGGUUGUCACUGCUCUAUAAGAGGCCAGGUCUGCUCCCUAGUUGUUGGAGUAGGAGCCCCCAUAUCUGCUUCUGAGAUAUGGUUCUGAUCUUUAGGACAAGGUAGGUGGUUUUGUCCCACUGGGAAAGAAGCCACUGAGUAUACCUCCACUGGAGAUGUUCAUCUGUGUGUGGGCUCUGUUGUGUCACCUUUUCCUUGUUGUGUGGGCUCACAGGGUACACUGUUGUUGGUGCUGCUCUUGGCCCAUGUUAACCAUGGGUCUGUCUGCAAUUGGCCCUGGUGUCUCUCAGGCAUUUUUUUUUUUUUUUUUUCACUAGGUCACCAGUGUAGAUCCAUUGAAGGCAGGACUCAGGAUUAUAGUAUUCAUACUCCUGGGCCUGCUAUGGGAUUGAUGGAGGCAGCUCAGACUCUGACCUGGUGCAAAAUCCACAUGUACUUGCCCACAAAGCCCACAUCUGCUCCAGCUAGACUCAUCUCAGGUACAGGAGCACUCCUUGUCUGUUCAGAUGUUCCACCAGUGCUGAAUUUAUAAGGCUGUCAGCGGAGGUGGAAAACUACAGUUCAUACCAUGGGGAGGAGAUAUUUCAGUUCUUCCUUCUUAAUUACAGGGCUGUUUUUAGUAUGGGUGCCUAGCCUCUCUUUCCUCAGUGUGUGCUGGUCUUUAUCUCCUUGGUAGUAGGUCACAAGUGCAUAGCCAGAGUUGGGCAGGGGUGAGGGAUGUAGUCCAUGAGGGAGGUGGCGGUGGCAGUGGCUUACACAACACCCCCCCUCCCAGAGCUCGGGUGCAGCCAGUGGUCGGCACCACACCACAGGUCCUUUGGUGGUGACUAUGGAUCAUACACACACUUCUGCAGAAGCAAGGGCAGAGGUCAGCUCCUGGUCACAGGAUGCUCACUGACAGCAGCGUUGGCAGUGGGCCACCUGAGUGCUCCCAGAGAUGUGGAGGCAGAGGUCGGCAUGCUGGUGUGGAAUCCUCAGUGGUAGCAGAGGGCCAUGCAAGCUCCCAGGGAGUCAAGGACAGUGGUCAGUGCUUGGUUGCAGGCCCCUUGGGAGCAAAGGCAGCGACCUGUGCAUAACCCCAGAAAGGGGGCAGGGAGGGGUUGGUGCCUGGCUGCAGGUGUGGGCCCUCUGGAGAUAGCGGCAGCUAUAGACACACAUGUUCCCUGAAAGGAAGAGGCAGUGACUAUCACCUGCUCGUGAGACCCUCAGUGGAGGCAGUGGUCUGCUCCCACCUUUGGGGUCCAAGAUGACCGUGGUGGCUAGCACCUGCCCCUGGAUCUCAUGCAAGAGAUGCCCUGUGGCCUGAGAGCCCACGUAUGGAGAAAAAACCACCUCUGAUGAUCCCGUCCCUCUCCUCUUAUGCUCUCCAACCCUGGUGUUCUGCGUUUCUGGUGGGCCAAGACCUCUUCCUCCAGUAUCCCAAAAGUAUGGUGCACCACACCCUAGCUCCUUCAGAUUGUCCUCUCACAGUCAAACUCAGUCCUCUCCAUAUCUGACCUCCAAAGCCUAACCCUCGGCUCCCAGCCCGAGCUCACCUUACCAGAAGUCCAGUGUCUCUGGCUGGGGUGUGCUGGGCUAGAUACCAACCAUGCCGGUCUUUCUCCUGCCUGCCUUCUACAAACCCAUUGCUGCAAUCUCCUCCGAUGCCCCAAAGCUCCGUCUCUGUCCCACCUGGUCUCUCUGCCAGUGAUGGGCCUUCCCAGUGUGCAGAAGCCUUUCCUUUUUCCCAGUUCCCUCCCAGGGGCACUGGUCCCAUCCCAGUUCUUUUCUCUCUCUCUUUUUCCUUCUUUUGUCCUACCUAGUUACAUGAAGAUUUUCUUCCCCUUUUGGAUGUCUGAGAUCUUCUGAAAGCAUUCAGUAGAUGUUCUGUUAGAAGAAUGUCACAUGCAGAUGUAUUUUUGAUGUAUUUGUCAGGAAAAGUGUGCUCCACAUCCUACGCCUCUGCUAUUUUUCCACGCCCACCCCCAACAGGACUUUUUGACAAAUACGUGUCUGAUGACUUUCUGAUAAUACCACGGAACUUGGUAAGAAAUUUUAAAACUCUUAAUGGAAAACUUGAUGACUUCAUUCAGAUCAACAGGAAUUAAUUACAUGGGACUGAAUGAACUGGUAAAUAUGACAUAAUUUUAUGACAUUUUCUCUGAACUAUUCCGGCUUUUAAUCAUUGUUUUUCAGAAAACUUUCCCUCUAACUAUGAACUAAAAUCUGGUAAAGUAUGUCUUUGUAAAUGAAGAUGAAACAUGUGUCUUUUUCUUAUUACCUGAUCCUUCCAGAAUUUGGCUUCUCUAGCUGGCUCCCCUGUGAACUUGAUGAUUUAUUGCAGCCAGAUUACAACUAGUUAUGCUAAUUAUUGUUUUAAUUUGUUCUCUAUUGUUGUUUUCAAAUUAUGCUUUGUGCCUCUCUCUGCUGUACCAUGACUUUAUUAAUGUUUUUAGCUGUAUUACUUAUAUCCUUUCUAUUUUAUAAGAUUGUUGUCAUUACUGGAUGUGUAACCAGGCCUCUGGCAAAAUUAAUAAUGGCUAAACAUUUUGAGGCAGUUGAUCAUAUAUAUAUAAUUCUACAUAAAAUAAUUUUAAUAGUGCAACUCUGGAUAUGGGAAGAAGCUAAAGGUAAAACAUUUCCUGGAUCAUAAUAAACUACCACCCCAAAGGUGAGCCCUGAGGGGAUUUCAGGAUUGGGGAAAACAGGAUACUGCCCUAGGUCAUUUCAAUGGAUAAUUUCAAGGGAUAAUUUCAAUGAGCCUAGACUCUUACAUCUUCACACAUGGAAAAGCACUGAAAUCAUUAACUUAAGAUGCCUGUGAUUAGUGUAAUAUUUUGAUGUUUGAUUACAUGCCUUUUUUUGCUUUUUAGGGAUAUACCUGCAGCUUAUGGAACUUCCCAAGCUAAGGGUUGAAUCCGAGCUGUAGCUGCUGGCCUACGACACAGCCACAGUAGCUUGGGAUCUGAGCUGCAUCUGUGACCUACACCACAGCUCAUGGCAAUGCGGGAUCCCCGACCCACUGAUCAAGGUCAGGGACUGAACCCACAUCCUCAUGGAUACUAGUCGGAUUCAUUUCCACCAUACCACAAUGGGAACUCCUUUUUUUUCCUUUUUUUCUUUAGCAAAAACAGCUAUAUAUCCUGGCCCCUCCCUUAC
rnacentral:lncRNA from 1 species